AGCAGCUGUAGCUCUGAUUUGACCCCUAGCCUGGGAACUUCCGUAUACCACGGUAUAGCCCCCAAAAAGCAUAAAAAACAAAAAGAAAAAAAAAGAAAAAAAGGCUAGUAUGUCCCCACGUGUUUUAUGUACCUCUUAUUUAUGGUCACAAAAAUCCCACAUGAUAGAUAGGAUUAUUACCCCUCUCUCUUUUUUAAAAGAUGGGGAAAUUAAGUUUCAAAGAGAUUAAUGUAACUUGAUAAUUGUACUGAGCUAACAAUUGAUGGAGUAUCUGGCUUUAAAGUUUGAGUCCUUCUAGUCUAUCACAAUAUGUGUAUUCCCUUUGUAAAUUACUGAAUUUUCAUUUGUGUAUUGAGCUACUAGCUUCUUACACAAAAGUGAUGGCAACUCUGUGAAUACUGUCUCUCUAUCAAACAUAUGUAAUUAAUAUGGCAUCUAUUGCAUAUUUUCAAAACAGAAUUUUACCAAUAAACUGAACAGUUAACUUGAUUAACUGCUUAUACUUCACCAGAUUUAUAUAUUGUCAAUUACUACAAUAAGGGUUAUUUUUCCAUUAAGAAUGGAUAUUAUUCUUUAAAAAUUCUGCAUUCAAAAAUUCAUUUCAAUAAAUUAAUGUAUUAAUUAUUUUACCGAGCACAGUGAGAGAUAAUGAAGGAGGUAACAAUCAUGGAAGAAAUAUAUUAAUAUUAAAUAUUUACCACAUAACUCAUCCUUAUUGGACACAGCUGUCGAUAAAAUAUGCCCUUACUGUUGACAAGUAGCUCCUGUGUUUUGCUUGUAGAUUAGCUUGCAGCCCUGCUCUGUAUUCUUUAUCUUCAUCACUGCACCAGUCCUUUAAUUAGGCAGUGAAAUCUUCUGCAUAGUGAUUAGGAAAUCACAGUUAAGAAGGUGUUACAAAGGGAUGUUUCUGGAAGCUACUCAAAACAGCUCCAUGCCUUGGAAAUUCCUCCAUGUACAGUAUCCAGGAAACAUGUUCAUAUUUCAAAAGCAAGUGACAACUGACCUGCAGUUAAUCAGGUUUACAAAAUUUGUAGUCCUCAAUCCUGAGACAUUAGGUGUAACUAGGAAAAGUCUUGAACCAUGGUUGGUAAAGGAUGGCAACUUCAUUAUCCAACCUGUGAAAUGAGGUGGUGAAGCACUUUUGUGUUUGGAAUUUAAACUGAAUUUAGAAUCCAAGAGUAUAUUUGAUAAUGUGCAAAUAGUUUUGUUACUAUUGAAUACUAGUAAAAUUUGAAAAUAGACCUUAGAAAAUUGAGAAACUGAUCCAUUUUCAUAGUUAUCCCAUUAUCAACACAUAAAAAUUAUACUUUAUAAGUACUGAUUUCAGAAUCAAAAUUUAUGAUUUCAGAAUUCAAAAAAAUAAUUGGAGUUCCCAUUGUAUCUAAGUGGGUUAAAAACCUUACACAGUGUCCAUGUGGAUGUGAAUUUGAUCCCUUGCCUCGCUCAAUGGGUUAAGGAUCCAGCGUUGCCAAAAGCUGUGGUUUAGGUUGCAAAUGCAGCUUGGAUCCAGUGUUGCUGUGGCUGUGGUAUAGGCCAGCACCUGCAGUUCUGAUUUGACCCCUAGCGCAGGAACUUCCAUAUGCCUCAGGUGUGGCUGUAAAAAGAAAUAAAAAUUAUUACUGACCAAGGUAAAUAUGAAUCCUAAAAGACCAUGGGAUUCAAGGAACAGGUAAUAUUUACAGAUAAUUUUUUCACUUCAGAGAAAUUAUUUUCAUUAAUAUAACCUGUAAAUUCAAAUAUAACCUUCCAAGUUACUAUUAUACAAACCAAGGUAGGAAAAAUGUUGAGGAAAAAUAUUGAGGCUAUGAGAAAUUAUAAAAAUUUAAUAAAUUUGUCAAGGAAAGCUGAACACUAAUUAGCAUAUUUGAUAUUUUUUCAUUUUUUUAUGCAUUGGAGAAGGUUGCUAUUUUUAAAGUCUUGUUUUCUGUGAUUUGGAGAAACUUCUAGAGAUGGCCAAGAUAAUGAAACAUAGAUCAUGUUGUAGAGAUGCAGAUAUUAACAUAAUUUUUGUUAACCUAAUACAUCAAUGUAGGCUAUGAAGAAAAUAUUAUGGAAAAUACUUCAGAAAAAUUAAAAACGUUGCAAUCAGGAUUUUAUAGGCAAUCAUAUAUUUUAAAGUGGUUAAAAUAAUAUUAUUUGACAAAAUUUAUGAAAAAGGCAUGCAAAUAAACAUUUUUUCACCAACAUAAUUCUUUCAAUCUAAUUCCAGUUUUUUCAAAUAAUGAUCAGGUUUUUUUUGGUGAAUAAUUUUAUCUCAUAGUCACCUAUGGAGACAGUUUUUGACCUUUAAGUCUGUUAAGGAUCACUCCUGGGGCAGUUCAUAGUCUUUCUCUUUCUCAUAGAUUUUUUUUCUCUGAUUCAGUAGUGGAGUAUGUAUUCUUUCUCACCAAGCGGUAAAGGAUGGUUCUUAAGUGUAAAGGCUAUGGAUCCAAAUUUCCUGGACAGAAACCUCAGCCUCAACCACUUGGACAAACUCUAUAGUGUAUCCAUGCCCCAAGUUUCUCAUCUGAAAGAUAGAAGUUAUAAUCAUCUGUGUAGGGUUGUGUUGAUGAAGUAAAUUAAUAUAGAUUAAGUUCUUGGAACAGUAUCUGGCAAAUGGUAGGCACUUUUCUAGGUACUAUUCUAUUUCUAGGCCAAUAGCGCUAACUAAUGGGUUGUUUUAGUUUGCUUUCCUGAUGCAUUUUUCAUAGUGUUGGGUCUUCUCCCCACAAUCUAAUGAAGAAUAUAAAAAGGAAAGGAGACCACGUGGGAGGGAUAGUUAAAUUAUUGAAGUAAAAAUUCCAUUUCAGGAUCUUUGAUAUGUAUGUAUUUGAAGUAUUCUACUCUGUUAGACUCUCUCAAUUCAGACAUUCUCAUUCAUCUUUUCCAGAGAGUAAACCACUUGCUUUGACGUGGGUAGAAUAGGAAAGCUGCAUUUGUUGACGGACUGAACACACAUUAAACCCUUUUCACAGCCAUUUCCAUUUUUAAUGGGGAGGAUUCCACCAAAGCCCAAGCUUGGGAACUUUUUGCUGUGUAAAUCAAUUUGGUUCUCAACUUUACCAACUACCAGUUUAGAAUUCUGUUUUUUCCCAAGGAUCUGAUAAGCCAUACAUCAUUUUUUCCUGUUUUCCAGUUUACAAAUGUUCCUCCUCUUCUUCCCUCUCUUCUAUUUCCCUUAAUUUGAGUAUUUUUGCCUUUUUAUAACACUAUUCGGCUUUCUCAGGGGCUUGAGGAGGAGGUAAAAAGGAAAAGUAUGUAUCCAAUCAAGGGUUUUGACCCCAAAGCCAAAGGAAUACUUUUCAGAACAGUAUUUGAAAAUAAUUUGAGGAUAUUUAAUGCCAUUUACAGUUGUUUCAUAAAAAACUCUGCUGAUAUUCUGCCAAAUUUUCCAGCUCCUUAGAGGGUGAAUAUUGCUUAAAAUUAUAGCUUCAGAGUAUGGUAUUUUUUUCAGGCAACCACGUAUACUAACCAGAGGCUUACAUAAGGCCCUGGUGAUUGAGGUAUUUGAGAGCCAUUGCCUCACAUGUGUUCAUCAUCUUUCCUUGGCCUCAGGCUUUGAACUCUCUUGCUUAUGGACUGAAGGAGCAAUUGAAUAGUUUAAGAUAUGGAGAAAUAUAUUUUAUUUUCAUUUCUCCUUUUAGGCCACAUAAACAAGGCUAACAUUCUUUAGCGUUAGAAUUCCUAUAUAAUUCCCAUUAAAUGUGGAGGAAGCAAUUUCUGUUUCAAAACUUAACCUGCUUUUAAAAUUCAUUUCGUCAAGUUGUUCCCAAAAGAUAAAAUAAGAACAGAGGGUAGUUAGUGGAGAGGAGGUAGUGCUAGUUUUCCUAAUUUUUGUGCAUACACAUUCAAUUUUUCAGAAAUUUUUGGUUAAAGCCAAGUUAACUUAAUUGAAUGAGACUUUUUUUUUUUUUAAUCCAGAGUGGGGGAAAGGAGGUAAAACUGUGAGGCGUAAUUAUUUCUAGCUCUGCACUCAGUUCUUUUAUUUGCCAUGUAAGAGUCACAGGGAUUAUGUUGAAUGGAGGCUGCUUGUUGAGUUUCCAUUUCUGUUGAAUAGCUGGAACUACAAAGUGGCUGUGGACCAAGGACUGGGUAGAUUAAUAGUUUAUGGAGACCAAGAACACCAUUAACAAUAGUCACAAAACCUGAGUUCAAAUCCAGCAAUGCCUUGAAACUGGGGGUCCCAGACACUUUAUCUAAACUCUCUUAGCUCUAGUACUCUUAUUUAUGAAACAUCAUUAAAUAUACUACCUUCCUUGCUUUCCUUAAGUACUGUAAUGAAAAUCAAGCUAGUUUUUACUAAUAAAAGUAAUUGAAACUUGUGAUAUGUAAUAUUCAAAUUUAUUUUAUCUUCCUUACCCAUAAUAGUCAGAAUUCCUUACCCAUAUUAGAGAAACAGAAACAGCAAAAUGUGUACAUAUGGGGGAGAGCAAGGUGUCCGUGAGGAUUAUGAUUUUCUUGGUAGAUGGAGUGAGCCAGACUCCGUACCAGUGAGUCUGGGAUUGGGGGCAGCUGGGGCACCAGCUGUUUGUCAUCCCAGAACUCCCCUACCUGCUGCUUAAAACUCUGGAGUUCUCGCGAGAUCUGGCUGCUUCUGGGACAAGCAGAAAUUGAAAAUGGAGAAAAGUAAAGGGAGGAGAGGGGAGAGAUUGAUUUUUAAGGAGUUGCUAGUGGGGUUGCAGAGGCUUGGUAAAGCCAAUUUAAGAUUGGUGGGUUGGCAGGCUGAAGAUCCAGGGAAGAGUUGCAGUUCUAAUCCAAAGGCCGUCUGCGCGCAGUUCUUCCUGCUUAGAGGAGGUAUUUAACACGGCCAUACAGAAAACCUAUUUAAUGACAUUCCAUUUUCAGCUCGCAUGGUACUUUGGAAGGAGGUUAGCAGCUUGAUUACUUAAGACUUUUGCCUGAAGGUAUGUUUUUUUCAAAUUCCAAGAGGCAAGAAUACCACACUGUCAAAAAAAAUCAUGUUUCUUGUUUCUUAAUAGCUAAAAAACAUUAAAAGUUCACUUUUCCAUGGUUAACUGGUCUCAUCCUUUUUUUUACAUACCAGUAUUUGUUAUUUAUAGAAAAUUCUCUAUUAAUAGUCCUUAACACCUGCCUUGCAAAAUCUUUAUAUAUUCAAAGAAGGGAGAGAUUUAAGCAGAUGCAACAGAAGAAAGGGUGGGGGGGAAAAUUGUAAUUGCAAUGUAUACAUGUAAGGAUAACCUGACCCCCUUGCUGUACAGUGGGAAAAUAAAAAAA